rnacentral:rRNA from 1 species
ACGGGUGAGUAACGCGUGAGUAACCUGCCUUUCAGAGGGGGAUAACGUUCUGAAAAGAACGCUAAUACCGCAUGAGACUACAGAGCUGCAUGGCUCAGUGGUCAAAGGAGCAAUCCGCUGAAAGAUGGACUCGCGUCCGAUUAGAUAGUAGGCGGGGUAACGGCCCACCUAGUCGACGAUCGGUAGCCGGACUGAGAGGUUGAACGGCCACAUUGGGACUGAGACACGGCCCAAACUCCUACGGGAGGCAGCAUG